UACGUAGGGGGCAAGCGUUAUCCGGAUUUACUGGGUGUAAAGGGAGCGUAGACGGCCAGACAAGUCUGAAGUGAAAAUCCAGCGCUUAACGUUGGAAGUGCUUUGGAAACUGCCGGGCUAGAGUGCAGGAGGGGCAGGCGGAAUUCCUAGUGUAGCGGUGAGAUGCGUAGAUAUUAGGAGGAACACCAGUGGCGAAGGCGGCCUGCUGGACUGCAACUGACGUUGAGGCUCGAAGGCGUGGGGAGCAAACAGG
rnacentral:rRNA from 1 species